rnacentral:lncRNA from 1 species
UGCAGCUUUUUUCAGUUUUGUAGAUGUAGUGUGAAAUUUUUGGUAUUUGACCAAAUGCACUUCUACCUAUAAUUGGUAUACACCGUAAUGCACUAAAUUUUAGCUAAAUUGAUAAAAUACAGAUUAAAUCAUAUUAGACGUGAUUACGAUGGGUUUGAGAGGUUUAGAAUAAGUUUGGAUCGAAUAAAAUCAAAUUCGGAUCGAAACAGUGUUUCAAAACUCUAGAAUCUGAGU